rnacentral:ncRNA from 1 species
GUUAGAUUUGGUCUUGGUCUUAGUUUCUUGAUUACAGCGAUGUUGAAACACAUGGUACUUAAUGGGCCCCGGUGAGUUUAAAUAAAAUAGGUGGGGUAGAGUUAAAAACUUUAUGUUAUUUAUUUUUAGUGGCAUAAUUUUAAAGAUAUUACGCCGAAUUUAGUUCACUAGGUAACACCAGUGUUGGAGGUUGGAUAAAUAAAUGUGGGUUUGAUCCAGUAAUUAGCUUUAAAGGUCUGGUAAAGUUUGUGCCAGCCACCGCGGUUAGACAAACAGAUCAAGUCAAGAUUUGACAGUAAAAAAGGGGGUUAAAGAAAUUGAGAGCUUUAGCUAUGGGGCCGCGUACUGUAGGGAAAUUAUGCUUCUUAUAGAGGUGGAAUUUGAGUAAGAAGAAUUUAGUUUAUUAGUCCCUUGUUCUUGACGCCCCGAAAUCUCAUAGUGAGACCGGGAUUAGAUACCCCGUUAUUUGAGAGGUAAAUUUUAAUUAUGAGUUAAUUUACUUGGGUAUUAUGAGGACACAGUAUUACAAAUUACUGUUCGUACCUUAAAACUCAAAAGACUUGGCGGUGUUUUAGGUCCUUCUAGGGGAACCUGUCCUAUAAUUGAUAGUCCACAAAUAACCUUUCCUUUUCUUGAUAUUUCUCAGCCUGUAUACCGUCGUCGCCAGAUUACCUUUAAGAGAAAUGAAGUUGUCGGCAGGAGGUUUUAUAACAGAAGUUUUUAUUUUGCGUAAUUUUCUUGACGUCAGAUCAAGGUGCAGCUUAUGAAAAGGAAGAGAUGGGUUACAAUAAUGAAUUAUUAUACGAAUUUUUUCCUGCAACUUAGGAGAUAUUGAAGGCGGACUUAGAAGUAAUUUUUAGUAAAGGAGCAGAAAGCCUUGGUGAAAAUUGGCACUAAAACGUGCACAUAUCGCCCGUCGCUCUCGUUGAAAAAUGAGAUAAGUCGUAACAUAGUGAGGGUACCGGAAGGUGCUCUUAGUGAAUA